rnacentral:snRNA from 23 species
AUACUUACCUUGUCUGGGCUUUGGCGAUCAUGAAGGCCGGAAGUCUAGAGGAACUUCGUGCAUUGCACAGCGCGCAGAGGUUCCUCUACCGAUCUCCUGCGGGGGCUCGGCGGGCGGAAUUUUUUAUUUCACACACUUUGUGUGC